UUAAGCGACUAAGCGUACACGGUGGAUGCCCUGGCAGUCAGAGGCGAUGAAGGACGUGCUAAUCUGCGAUAAGCGUCGGUAAGGUGAUAUGAACCGUUAUAACCGGCGAUUUCCGAAUGGGGAAACCCAGUGUGAUUCGUCACACUAUCAUUAACUGAAUCCAUAGGUUAAUGAGGCGAACCGGGGGAACUGAAACAUCUAAGUACCCCGAGGAAAAGAAAUCAACCGAGAUUCCCCCAGUAGCGGCGAGCGAACGGGGAGCAGCCCAGAGCCUGAAUCAGUGUGUGUGUUAGUGGAAGCGUCUGGAAAGGCGCGCGAUACAGGGUGACAGCCCCGUACACAAAAAUGCACAUACUGUGAGCUCGAUGAGUAGGGCGGGACACGUGGUAUCCUGUCUGAAUAUGGGGGGACCAUCCUCCAAGGCUAAAUACUCCUGACUGACCGAUAGUGAACCAGUACCGUGAGGGAAAGGCGAAAAGAACCCCGGCGAGGGGAGUGAAAAAGAACCUGAAACCGUGUACGUACAAGCAGUGGGAGCACGCUUAGGCGUGUGACUGCGUACCUUUUGUAUAAUGGGUCAGCGACUUAUAUUCUGUAGCAAGGUUAACCGAAUAGGGGAGCCGAAGGGAAACCGAGUCUUAACUGGGCGUUAAGUUGCAGGGUAUAGACCCGAAACCCGGUGAUCUAGCCAUGGGCAGGUUGAAGGUUGGGUAACACUAACUGGAGGACCGAACCGACUAAUGUUGAAAAAUUAGCGGAUGACUUGUGGUCUGGGGGUGAAAGGCCAAUCAAACCGGGAGAUAGCUGGUUCUCCCCGAAAGCUAUUUAGGUAGCGCCUCGUGAAUUCAUCUCCGGGGGUAGAGCACUGUUUCGGCAAGGGGGUCAUCCCGACUUACCAACCCGAUGCAAACUGCGAAUACCGGAGAAUGUUAUCACGGGAGACACACGGCGGGUGCUAACGUCCGUCGUGAAGAGGGAAACAACCCAGACCGCCAGCUAAGGUCCCAAAGUCAUGGUUAAGUGGGAAACGAUGUGGGAAGGCCCAGACAGCCAGGAUGUUGGCUUAGAAGCAGCCAUCAUUUAAAGAAAGCGUAAUAGCUCACUGGUCGAGUCGGCCUGCGCGGAAGAUGUAACGGGGCUAAACCAUGCACCGAAGCUGCGGCAGCGACGCUGAUGCGUUGUUGGGUAGGGGAGCGUUCUGUAAGCCUGCGAAGGUGUGCUGUGAGGCAUGCUGGAGGUAUCAGAAGUGCGAAUGCUGACAUAAGUAACGAUAAAGCGGGUGAAAAGCCCGCUCGCCGGAAGACCAAGGGUUCCUGUCCAACGUUAAUCGGGGCAGGGUGAGUCGACCCCUAAGGCGAGGCCGAAAGGCGUAGUCGAUGGGAAACAGGUUAAUAUUCCUGUACUUGGUGUUACUGCGAAGGGGGGACGGAGAAGGCUAUGUUGGCCGGGCGACGGUUGUCCCGGUUUAAGCGUGUAGGCUGGUUUUCCAGGCAAAUCCGGAAAAUCAAGGCUGAGGCGUGAUGACGAGGCACUACGGUGCUGAAGCAACAAAUGCCCUGCUUCCAGGAAAAGCCUCUAAGCAUCAGGUAACAUCAAAUCGUACCCCAAACCGACACAGGUGGUCAGGUAGAGAAUACCAAGGCGCUUGAGAGAACUCGGGUGAAGGAACUAGGCAAAAUGGUGCCGUAACUUCGGGAGAAGGCACGCUGAUAUGUAGGUGAAGCGACUUGCUCGUGGAGCUGAAAUCAGUCGAAGAUACCAGCUGGCUGCAACUGUUUAUUAAAAACACAGCACUGUGCAAACACGAAAGUGGACGUAUACGGUGUGACGCCUGCCCGGUGCCGGAAGGUUAAUUGAUGGGGUUAGCGCAAGCGAAGCUCUUGAUCGAAGCCCCGGUAAACGGCGGCCGUAACUAUAACGGUCCUAAGGUAGCGAAAUUCCUUGUCGGGUAAGUUCCGACCUGCACGAAUGGCGUAAUGAUGGCCAGGCUGUCUCCACCCGAGACUCAGUGAAAUUGAACUCGCUGUGAAGAUGCAGUGUACCCGCGGCAAGACGGAAAGACCCCGUGAACCUUUACUAUAGCUUGACACUGAACAUUGAGCCUUGAUGUGUAGGAUAGGUGGGAGGCUUUGAAGUGUGGACGCCAGUCUGCAUGGAGCCGACCUUGAAAUACCACCCUUUAAUGUUUGAUGUUCUAACGUUGACCCGUAAUCCGGGUUGCGGACAGUGUCUGGUGGGUAGUUUGACUGGGGCGGUCUCCUCCUAAAGAGUAACGGAGGAGCACGAAGGUUGGCUAAUCCUGGUCGGACAUCAGGAGGUUAGUGCAAUGGCAUAAGCCAGCUUGACUGCGAGCGUGACGGCGCGAGCAGGUGCGAAAGCAGGUCAUAGUGAUCCGGUGGUUCUGAAUGGAAGGGCCAUCGCUCAACGGAUAAAAGGUACUCCGGGGAUAACAGGCUGAUACCGCCCAAGAGUUCAUAUCGACGGCGGUGUUUGGCACCUCGAUGUCGGCUCAUCACAUCCUGGGGCUGAAGUAGGUCCCAAGGGUAUGGCUGUUCGCCAUUUAAAGUGGUACGCGAGCUGGGUUUAGAACGUCGUGAGACAGUUCGGUCCCUAUCUGCCGUGGGCGCUGGAGAAUUGAGGGGGGCUGCUCCUAGUACGAGAGGACCGGAGUGGACGCAUCACUGGUGUUCGGGUUGUCAUGCCAAUGGCACUGCCCGGUAGCUAAAUGCGGAAGAGAUAAGUGCUGAAAGCAUCUAAGCACGAAACUUGCCCCGAGAUGAGUUCUCCCUGACUCCUUGAGAGUCCUGAAGGAACGUUGAAGACGACGACGUUGAUAGGCCGGGUGUGUAAGCGCAGCGAUGCGUUGAGCUAACCGGUACUAAUGAACCGUGAGGCUUAACCUU
rnacentral:rRNA from 1 species